GGACAACUGGGGAAGUCCCUUGACCAGUCCCGAUUUUGCCUGCACCCUACGCAUGUGACCAGGUUUCCCCCCUGCCCCAGCUAAUGGCUGAUCUCACCUGCUAAUUUAUUAAAGCAAACAUCUGCCCUCGUGAUGGUUCUUAACUGAGGGGCUGUGAGGGACGUGCCCCAGCUGGUUUCCUUGGUAACUGACCAGCCAACCUGACCUCAAUUCCCCCUCUAAAUAGUAGUCUCCUUCUAGCCUGAGUGGGAAGGAUUGCUGUUAUGGCCUGCCCGCUGCAAUCCACAGGUUGUUGCUCCAGGACCUUUUGCUUAAGACCAGCACCAACCCCGUCCCCAAAACUCCUGUCCAAAAAACCACUGAGGUCGCCAUCAUUGUCUCCAGACUCUUUCUUUGGUCUUGAGGUGGGGCAACCACAAGGCUUUCAGGACUGCGGGGUGCAGCCCAACGAUUGGUCAGCCAGGCGAGAGGCCAAAGGAACACCCAAGAUGUCGAGAAGUCAAGGAUGGGGAACGGAAGAUCGCAGGCAUGAUCUCGAGGUGGCUGUUCACCAGCAGUUUAAAAGCAGCAGCCCUAUGCCUGUGGCUCAUCUGACUGCACGAGGAUGGCUGGUGAAUACAGACAAAAUGCAAGGAAGUGGAUGAUCUGCAAAGGACAAGCAUACACACCUCCAACCUCUCACCACUAAACAAUUACAGACAAAGGCUUUAGGGGAUCUUAAUUCAGGGAUAGGCUGGUGAAUUGGACGUGGCUGAAAAGUCUGGUUGGGGCCUGUGACAACAACAAAGAGUACUCCUGGGCUUCUGGUCCCAGCUGUAGAAGGGGGCAGAGCAAUGAUACAGACCGCGAAGGGACAACAGCCAUGUGCAGCUUACACUACAAAAGGCUUACCUGGGUCUAGCAAUGCAAAAAUUCACUAUUUGGGGUCUAGGAUAGCUGUGUGUGAAAUACAGGACCCCCAUGGACAUUGAUAAUGACCAAAGACUCCACUUAACCAGGCAUGAAGUUCAGGAACGGGCUGAUAAAAAUGACACACAUUGGCCUUUCCACUUGCCUUACGGACAUCCCUCCCCCGACUUCGACCAGGCUAAUGGAAAGGAUGAAAGAACAACUUAACAACUGAAAUGGAAACCUGUUCUUUCCACGGGUGGACCAGAGGCUAACUUAAGCUCUAAGAAUUCAAACUGAGCAUCCCAGGGGCAAUGAGCCCAGGGCUAUGUUAACCCAGAAGUGACUAGUCAAUACAGUCUGAGCUUAACAGUUAACCGCCUAAAGACGAAUGCCUACUAUCAGGACAACAACUUACUUUUGCUCUCACCCCAGCAUCUCACCCCCAGAGGAACACAUUACCAAGUGAUCCGGGGACUGGCAGGUAGUCCCUGGUGCUUUGGGUUUGCUGCCUCGUGGGGAGUAGGAUUGGCAAGGGAAUUACAGAUUUCACCUGGAUUUAUACUAGACCCACCUAAGACUACUAAAGUUAAUCCAGCUCCUAAUGGAGAAACCUGUAUGCAGGUCAGGAAGCAACAGUUAGAACUGGACAUGGAACAACACACUGGUUCCAAAUAGGAAAAGGAGUGCGUCAAGGCUGUAUAUUGUCACCCUGCUUAUUUAACUUCUAUGCAGAGUACAUCAUGAGAAACGCUGGGCUGGAAGAAGCACAAGCUGGAAUCAAGAUUGCCAGGAGAAAUAUCAAUAACCUCAGAUAUGCAGAUGACACCACCCUUAUGGCAGAAAGUGAAGAGGAACUGAAAAGCCUCUUGAUGAGAGUGAAAGAGGAGAGUGAGAAAGUUGGCUUAAAGCUCAACAUUCAGAAAACUAAGAUCAUGGCAUCUGGUCCCAUCACUUCAUGGGAGAUAGAUGGGGAAACAGUGUCACACUUUAUUUUUGGGGGCUCCUAAAUCACUGCAGAUGGUGACUGCAGCCAUGAAAUUAAAAGACGCUUACUCCUUGGAAGGAAAGUUAUGACCAACCUAGAUAGCAUAUUCAAAAGCAGAGACAUUACUUUGCUAACAAAGGUCCAUCUAGUCAAGGCUAUGGUUUUUCCAAUGGUCAUGUAUGGAUGUGAGAGUUGGACUGUGAAGAAAGCUGAGUGCCGAAGAAUUGAUGCUUUUGAACUGUGGUGUUGGAGAAGACUCUUGAGAGUCCCUUGGACUGCAAGGAGAUCCAACCAGUCCAUUCUGAAGGAGAUCAGCCCUGGGAUUUCUUUGGAGGGAAUGAUGCUAAAGCUGAAACUCCAGUACUUUGGCCACCUCAUGGGAAGAGUUGACUCAUUGGAAAAGACUCUGAUGCUGGGAGGGAUUGGGGGCAGGAGGAGAAGGGGACGACAGAGGAUGAGAUGGCUGGAUGGCAUCACUGACUCGAUGGACGUGGGUCUGGGUGAACUCCAGGAGUUGGUGAUGGACAGGGAGGCCUGGCGUGCUGCGAUUCAUGGGGCAGCAAAGAGUCGGACACGACUGAGCGACUGAACUGACUGACUGACUGACUGGAGAAAAAGUGCCUCUAUACCCUGUAGGCUGAGGUUAUACCACCACCAGCCUUCAGCACUAUGAAUGUCUUUGUUGCUGUCCUAGGCUCUUUAUUUGGUCUCAAGGUUGGGCAACUCUGAGACUUACAGGUCUGCGGGGCCCAGCCCACCAGUGGGUGACUACACAGACUCCCCGCAGUGAAAGGUGACAGAGGCCGCUGGAGGCCCCCUUCCUCCACUGCCGUGGGACCACCUAUCAGGCUCCAUGAACUCUGGGCAGGAAAUGGCUGCCUGAUGGAACUGUUCUAGGUUCAGACUCCCCUGAUGGCUCCGAGAAGAGGUCCUUCAGAACAGAGUUCCAGCCCUCUUCUGAGGGGAACCCAGGGCUACUGGCCUCCUCAGUCUAUGGAGCUGACCCCAAGACCCUCACAUCCUAAACAAAUGCAGUGCUCAUCUGCUCUUUAAAGCUCUCCAAAGAUGUGGAGUUCUUUCCUGGCUCUAAGCUAAUUCCUUCCUGCUAUAUCUAAGCCUAUUUUUUUUUUUGGUUCUGCUCUCAAAUGAUUCAGAGGGAUCAGAGGCAGCCGCCCCAUUAUACGUUUUUGCUAAUCCACAGCACAAUACAGAAGAAAAAAAAAUGUGUAUUUGUUGGUGGAAAGUCAAGGACUGUUCUUUCUUGGGAGUAACUGCUUUUGAUUCAGAUGAAGUCUGUCUUCUUUUGAGAAUUAAAAUAUAUUUGCUUUUGUGAAAUGAUGGUGACAACACACGACAGUGAAUGUUCUUGGUGAGCAUAAACGAAGGCUGCAGCUCCCGGUGAGAACUUGGGUUUUGGUUCUUUUCCCCUGUCAAAUCCCCAACUUUGGAAUAUCGACUAGAGAGAAGUCUGAGACGCCAUACACACACAAAGCCAACCCCAGGUUUCUUACCUGCCCUCCCCAAGGCAAAAGGGCACGGGCUGCCCUAGCACAGCUUUCGGCCAUCAGCACCAGCUUUCCACCUUGAAGGCUGCUGAUGUUCCCAUCAUGCUGCUGAAGUUCCCAUCACACUGCUGUUCGGUCGCUCAGUCAUGUCUGACUCUUUGCAAAACCCCAUGGCCUGCAGCACCCCUGUCC
ensembl:lncRNA